rnacentral:rRNA from 1 species
UACGUAGGGUGCGAGCGUUGUCCGGAAUUAUUGGGCGUAAAGAGCUCGUAGGCGGUCUGUCACGUCGGCUGUGAAAUCCCGAGGCUCAACCUCGGGUCUGCAGUCGAUACGGGCAAACUAGAGUAUUGCAGGGGAGACUGGAAUUCCUGGUGUAGCGGUGAAAUGCGCAGAUAUCAGGAGGAACACCGGUGGCGAAGGCGGGUCUCUGGGCAAUAACUGACGCUGAGGAGCGAAAGCGUGGGGGAGCGAACAGG